UGGGGAAUUUUGGACAAUGGGCGAAAGCCUGAUCCAGCAAUGCCGCGUGUGUGAAGAAGGCCUUCGGGUUGUAAAGCACUUUUGUCCGGAAAGAGAUCCUUGGCUCUAAUACAGUCGGGGGAUGACGGUACCGGAAGAAUAAGCACCGGCUAACUACGUGCCAGCAGCCGCGGUAAUACGUAGGGUGCAAGCGUUAAUCGGAAUUACUGGGCGUAAAGCGUGCGCAGGCGGUUUGCUAAGACCGAUGUGAAAUCCCCGGGCUCAACCUGGGAACUGCAUUGGUGACUGGCAGGCUAGAGUAUGGCAGAGGGGGGUAGAAUUCCACGUGUAGCAGUGAAAUGCGUAGAGAUGUGGAGGAAUACCGAUGGCGAAGGCAGCCCCCUGGGCCAAUACUGACGCUCAUGCACGAAAGCGUGGGGAGCAAAACAGGAUUAGAUACCCUGGUAGUCCACGCCCUAAACGAUGUCAACUAGUUGUUGGGGAUUCAUUUCCUUAGUAACGUAGCUAACGCGUGAAGUUGACCGCCUGGGGAGUACGGUCGCAAGAUUAAAACUUAAAGGAAUUGACGGGGGUCAUAGCUG
rnacentral:rRNA from 1 species